AGUUAAGUUUAAAAUAAGAAUGCAUGGCAUAAAACAUAAUUACAGUAAAACAAUCAUUUGAUUGGAAAGUAAGAUUGGGUGGUGCAGUUUAUUUUAAAGGAUAUAAUUUAAAAAAAUAUUGUUCGAUUAUGCAUGUAACGAUCGGGGUUAGACAUAGUUUAUAGUGUUGCCAGCGAACUCUUUUUCUCAGUUAUCUUUUUCACAUUAAAGGUCUUUAGAAAGUGGGAAUGGUUCCAGGGUGUUGUCUUUUAAGUGGCUUUUUGUCUCCUUCCAAACCAAGCUAAAACACAGUAAGCAAAUGAUUCAAACUAAUGUUUGGAUUUCCACACUGUAAUUAUACAGAUUAAGUAAGAGCACUGACGAGAGUCAGAUGUCGGCGGAUAUUGCUCAAAGCUUGCCGAGCAUCACUCAUUUAUCUGGCUGGACGGAUUCCUGACUAAACCCACCCUGAUCUCACAGCUGAUCGCUAUAUAAACCGUAGCAGCCCAGAAGCAGACACACAGGGAUACGUGGACUGAGCACUGAAGCAAGUAACCUUCUUCACCUGAAGGAUGUGGACAUUCAGGACAGCACUGCUGGUGGCGCUCCUAGCAUUCGUAUUUGCCAAACCAUUUCGUCCAGGACGUGGCAGCACAUCAAACUUGGAUAACUCAAGCUCAUCUUCUGAAUCCGAUAUGUCUGCCUCCAGUGAAUCUAGUGGUUUUGCGAAAAGCGACUCGAGUGAAUCCAGCGAAUCUGCAUCAUCUGAGGAGAAGGUUUUCACCACUGCUGAACCAGAGACCAGUAGCGGUAUAACUGAUGCACCACCGUUGACCACAGAUGGAGGCAUCACGUGUUUUACUGUGCGUCCUGAAACCGAGCCUAGAGGAGACAACUAAAAGUUAUUGUAGCGUUAAGCUUUUUUUUUUAUUUUUUAUUUUUUGGCUCUCAUUUUAACAAGUUUUUGACUUGCUCUUUCAGCCAUCCCAUUUUAGAGUCACUGCAAUGGAGCAACAUUAGCAGAAACACAUUUAAGCAGCGUUGUCAUUUUUUGGGGGGUUUUGUACUGUUUUUGUAUUUUAGCGUUACCAUUUCUUUCUGUUUCUUAUAUAAAGUGAACUUUUAGUGUUUGAUACAGUUCAAAAGAAUAAUAAAGGUAAUGUGUAUUUAGACUUGUCUGCCUAUA